CACAGAUCUGCCUGAAGCCAAAGCCUAUGUCAACGGCUACAUGGCCGCUGCCCGGGGCCAGCAUCCCGGCCUCCAGAGUUCCCACGGCAGAAUUCUUCCCCACCCGCAGCAUCUCCCACACGGUUCUUCAACCUCCAGCCUUUUGCCAAGGAUGGCUUGAUACACACAGCCCAGAAUUCCCUGCGUGUACACAAUAGAUCUUCAUUGGCAAAAUGGCUGCUCUCAAAUGUCACGUACCCAGAAGAGGAUGCGUCAUAGACCCAGCCAAAGGGAACCCAGGCUAUGAAUGGGCAGCACAUGCUGUAGACUGGUCCCUCUUAUCCACUGGUAAGAGGGGACUGACUGUGGGCAAAAUCUCCAGCCUUGGAAGAAACAAAGGACACCCUGUGCUGUAUGUGAAUCAGCCCCGUAUGAAGAGUACUGUGGUCUUUUCCUCCCCUCGCCUUUCUUGUCUAAUUCAAAGAGCCAAGCUGGUGUAACGAGAAGAGGUAGACAGGGCCUCAACUCUGGCUCCUGACUGUGGAGCCGUGUGGCCUUCGGCAAGUCAUUUCACCUCUUUGAGACUCCUUUUCUUUAGCUGUAAAAUGAAGAGAAUACCCACUUGUGGGGUUGAUGUGUGGGUGAAAUGAUUUCACUUACACUGCAUGCCCGUCGCAUGCUUCGAUUCCCUAUAAAGCUUGAAGAAUAAAUUGGUACCUGAUCACCAAACUCAGUUCCUCUUCUUCCUGGAGACAUGCUAGAGGACAUUUUCCAGCCUCCCCUGUGGCCUUGUGCUGUGGCCAUGUGAGCAAGCUCUGGCAGCGGACUGUGAGAAAAAGCGUGCCGUGCAAGCCACCUCCAGACUCAGCCCAUAAAAUCGUCUAUGCUUGUGGGCCCAAGGCAGCCCUUGAGACAACCUGUUGAAAUGGGCAAAAUCUGGACUUCUAUGAAUCCCUGAAUGACUACAUAGAGUCCUUGCUGCCAGUGAGGAAACUGAUCUGGACUUUACGUGACCAAGAAAUACACCUUUAUAGUGUUAACCGACAUGGCUUGGGGUUUAUCUUUUGCAGCAGCUAGCAUUGCUUUAACCAACACAAAGUCGUUACUGAGAAGGAAAACCUAGGGGUCAGCCCCGUGGCCGAGUGGUUAAGUUCGUGCGCUCUGCUUCAGUGGCCCAGGGUUUCGCUGGUUCGGAUCCUGGGUGCAGACAUGGCACCACUCAUCAAGCCAUGCUGAGGCGGCGUCCCACAUGCCACAACUAGAAGGACCCACAACUAAAAAUACACAACUAUGUACUAGGGAGCUUUGGAGAGAAAAAGGAAAAAUAAAAUCUUUGGGAAAAAAAAAGGAAAACCUAAAUAGUUUUGAUUUAAACCACAGUGGCUUUUGGAAAACCAAAUAAGGAACCGUACAACUGUUAGAGGGGACAUUUAAAUUUUAAUAUCGUAUUUCACGAAAU
rnacentral:lncRNA from 1 species